UCGAGAAUUUUUCUCAAUGGGGGAAACCCUGAAGGAGCGACGCCGCGUGGAGGAUGAAGGUCUUCGGAUUGUAAACUCCUGUCAUUAGGGAACAAACCUUCCAAGUAACUACUGGAAGACUGAUAGUACCUGAAGAGGAAGAGACGGCUAACUCUGUGCCAGCAGCCGCGGUAAUACAGAGGUCUCAACCGUUGUUCGGAUUCAUUGGGCGUAAAGGGUGCGUAGGCGGCGGAGUAAGUCAGGUGUGAAAUCUCGGGGCUCAACCCCGAAACUGCACUUGAUACUGCUUCGCUUGAGUACUGGAGAGGAGACUGGAAUUUACGGUGUAGCAGUGAAAUGCGUAGAUAUCGUAAGGAAGACCAGUGGCGAAGGCGAGUCUCUGGACAGUUACUGACGCUGAGGCACGAAGGCCAGGGGAGCAAACGGGAUUAGAUACCCCCGUAGUCC
rnacentral:rRNA from 1 species